rnacentral:rRNA from 1 species
GGAGUUAGCCGGUGCUUCUUCUGUGAGUGAUGUCCUUCCUGCCGGCUAUUAACCCGCAGGCCUUCUUCCUCACUGAAAGUGCUUUACAACCCGAAGGCCUUCUUCACACACGCGGCAUGGCUGGAUCAGGGUUGCCCCCAUUGUCCAAUAUUCCCCACUGCUGCCUCCCGUAGGAGUCUGGGCCGUGUCUCAGUCCCAGUGUGGCUGAUCAUCCUCUCAGACCAGCUACGGAUCGUCGCCUUGGUGAGCCGUUACCUCACCAACCAGCUAAUCCGACAUAGGCUCAUCCGAUAGCGCGAGGCCCGAAGGUCCCCCGCUUUCCCCCGUAGGGCGUAUGCGGUAUUAGCCUGGGUUUCCCCAGGGUUAUCCCCCACUACCGGGCAGAUUCCUAUGCAUUACUCACCCGUCCGCCGCUCGCCACCAGGGAGCAAGCUCCCCGUGCUGCCGCUCGACUUGCAUGUGUAGCUCGCCGCCACGCGUCAUCUGAGCAGAAUACAACUACUGA